AUGAUCUCUCACUUCAUUAUGUGUUUUCUGGUGCUGUUUAAAACUGUGCAGCAAUGAAAAACUCUUUCCACAGAGAGAACACACAUAAGGCUUCUCAUCUGAAUGAACUUUCAGGUGUUGUUUUAGAUUUGAUGAUGAAGUAAAAUCUUUACCACACUGAUCACAGUUAAAUGGUUUUUCUCCAGAGUGAAUGCGUAGAUGAUAACUGAGACCUGAUGCUUGAGAAAAACUCUUUCCACACUGAGUGCAUGUAAAAAGUUUCUCUCCAGUGUGAACUCUUAUGUGUAUCUUUAGGUUUACUUUUUGUGUGAAACUCUUUCCACACUGAGAGCAGGUGUGCGGCUUUUUAGCUUUUGUUCUUUGAGUUUUGAUGCUCUGCUUUUCCUCCUCUUCUUCAUUCAGUUCAUGUUUUUGCGGUUUCGUCUCCAUCCAGUCUAAA